rnacentral:rRNA from 1 species
GGGUUGUGAGGUUAAGCGACUAAGCGUACACGGUGGAUGCCCUGGCAGUCAGAGGCGAUGAAGGACGUGCUAAUCUGCGAUAAGCGUCGGUAAGGUGAUAUGAACCGUUAUAACCGGCGAUUUCCGAAUGGGGAAACCCAGUGUGAUUCGUCACACUAUCAUUAACUGAAUCCAUAGGUUAAUGAGGCGAACCGGGGGAACUGAAACAUCUAAGUACCCCGAGGAAAAGAAAUCAACCGAGAUUCCCCCAGUAGCGGCGAGCGAACGGGGAGCAGCCCAGAGCCUGAAUCAGUGUGUGUGUUAGUGGAAGCGUCUGGAAAGGCGCGCGAUACAGGGUGACAGCCCCGUACACAAAAAUGCACAUGCUGUGAGCUCGAUGAGUAGGGCGGGACACGUGGUAUCCUGUCUGAAUAUGGGGGGACCAUCCUCCAAGGCUAAAUACUCCUGACUGACCGAUAGUGAACCAGUACCGUGAGGGAAAGGCGAAAAGAACCCCGGCGAGGGGAGUGAAAAAGAACCUGAAACCGUGUACGUACAAGCAGUGGGAGCACGCUUAGGCGUGUGACUGCGUACCUUUUGUAUAAUGGGUCAGCGACUUAUAUUCUGUAGCAAGGUUAACCGAAUAGGGGAGCCGAAGGGAAACCGAGUCUUAACUGGGCGUUAAGUUGCAGGGUAUAGACCCGAAACCCGGUGAUCUAGCCAUGGGCAGGUUGAAGGUUGGGUAACACUAACUGGAGGACCGAACCGACUAAUGUUGAAAAAUUAGCGGAUGACUUGUGGCUGGGGGUGAAAGGCCAAUCAAACCGGGAGAUAGCUGGUUCUCCCCGAAAGCUAUUUAGGUAGCGCCUCGUGAAUUCAUCUCCGGGGGUAGAGCACUGUUUCGGCAAGGGGGUCAUCCCGACUUACCAACCCGAUGCAAACUGCGAAUACCGGAGAAUGUUAUCACGGGAGACACACGGCGGGUGCUAACGUCCGUCGUGAAGAGGGAAACAACCCAGACCGCCAGCUAAGGUCCCAAAGUCAUGGUUAAGUGGGAAACGAUGUGGGAAGGCCCAGACAGCCAGGAUGUUGGCUUAGAAGCAGCCAUCAUUUAAAGAAAGCGUAAUAGCUCACUGGUCGAGUCGGCCUGCGCGGAAGAUGUAACGGGGCUAAACCAUGCACCGAAGCUGCGGCAGCGACGCUGAUGCGUUGUUGGGUAGGGGAGCGUUCUGUAAGCCUGUGAAGGUGUACUGUGAGGUAUGCUGGAGGUAUCAGAAGUGCGAAUGCUGACAUAAGUAACGAUAAAGCGGGUGAAAAGCCCGCUCGCCGGAAGACCAAGGGUUCCUGUCCAACGUUAAUCGGGGCAGGGUGAGUCGACCCCUAAGGCGAGGCCGAAAGGCGUAGUCGAUGGGAAACAGGUUAAUAUUCCUGUACUUGGUGUUACUGCGAAGGGGGGACGGAGAAGGCUAUGUUGGCCGGGCGACGGUUGUCCCGGUUUAAGCGUGUAGGCUGGUUUUCCAGGCAAAUCCGGAAAAUCAAGGCUGAGGCGUGAUGACGAGGCACUACGGUGCUGAAGCAACAAAUGCCCUGCUUCCAGGAAAAGCCUCUAAGCAUCAGGUAACAUCAAAUCGUACCCCAAACCGACACAGGUGGUCAGGUAGAGAAUACCAAGGCGCUUGAGAGAACUCGGGUGAAGGAACUAGGCAAAAUGGUGCCGUAACUUCGGGAGAAGGCACGCUGAUAUGUAGGUGAAGUCCCUCGCGGAUGGAGCUGAAAUCAGUCGAAGAUACCAGCUGGCUGCAACUGUUUAUUAAAAACACAGCACUGUGCAAACACGAAAGUGGACGUAUACGGUGUGACGCCUGCCCGGUGCCGGAAGGUUAAUUGAUGGGGUUAGCGCAAGCGAAGCUCUUGAUCGAAGCCCCGGUAAACGGCGGCCGUAACUAUAACGGUCCUAAGGUAGCGAAAUUCCUUGUCGGGUAAGUUCCGACCUGCACGAAUGGCGUAAUGAUGGCCAGGCUGUCUCCACCCGAGACUCAGUGAAAUUGAACUCGCUGUGAAGAUGCAGUGUACCCGCGGCAAGACGGAAAGACCCCGUGAACCUUUACUAUAGCUUGACACUGAACAUUGAGCCUUGAUGUGUAGGAUAGGUGGGAGGCUUUGAAGUGUGGACGCCAGUCUGCAUGGAGCCGACCUUGAAAUACCACCCUUUAAUGUUUGAUGUUCUAACGUUGACCCGUAAUCCGGGUUGCGGACAGUGUCUGGUGGGUAGUUUGACUGGGGCGGUCUCCUCCUAAAGAGUAACGGAGGAGCACGAAGGUUGGCUAAUCCUGGUCGGACAUCAGGAGGUUAGUGCAAUGGCAUAAGCCAGCUUGACUGCGAGCGUGACGGCGCGAGCAGGUGCGAAAGCAGGUCAUAGUGAUCCGGUGGUUCUGAAUGGAAGGGCCAUCGCUCAACGGAUAAAAGGUACUCCGGGGAUAACAGGCUGAUACCGCCCAAGAGUUCAUAUCGACGGCGGUGUUUGGCACCUCGAUGUCGGCUCAUCACAUCCUGGGGCUGAAGUAGGUCCCAAGGGUAUGGCUGUUCGCCAUUUAAAGUGGUACGCGAGCUGGGUUUAGAACGUCGUGAGACAGUUCGGUCCCUAUCUGCCGUGGGCGCUGGAGAACUGAGGGGGGCUGCUCCUAGUACGAGAGGACCGGAGUGGACGCAUCACUGGUGUUCGGGUUGUCAUGCCAAUGGCACUGCCCGGUAGCUAAAUGCGGAAGAGAUAAGUGCUGAAAGCAUCUAAGCACGAAACUUGCCCCGAGAUGAGUUCUCCCUGACUCCUUGAGAGUCCUGAAGGAACGUUGAAGACGACGACGUUGAUAGGCCGGGUGUGUAAGCGCAGCGAUGCGUUGAGCUAACCGGUACUAAUGAACCGUGAGGCUUAACCUUACAACGCCGAAGCUGUU